GGCCCCGACAUGCUGUGUAUUAUUGCUUCCUUCCUGUAACUUUCGCUUUCACCCAGGUCAUCUUGGCCCAAUCAUCUUCAAGGAUGUAAAUAACCCAUCCGGCUGCCCCUAACGGCUCUUCCAGGGACACCUCAAGCCAAAAUUAUUCAGUGCUUAUUAUAUAUUACCACACAGGCAUUUAGGACAUAUUGUUCCUCCCAGGAGUGUUCAAGGUAGCUCAGAACGGAGACACAAGCACAUGAAAUAAACAGUGCAAGCAAUGCAAGAAGAUUAACGAUUCAGGCUGAAAUCAGAAGUCAACUCACUACUUUAGAGAGAGGAAGAAAUCAGUACGGACAGGAUUCGUCUCAGAAAUUUCACUGCGGAGGCCGGAAGGGGAAAGAAAUUAGUGUUUGUCAAAGUGGGAACUGAGGAUCGUCUGCAAGAAAGUUACUGAGAAAACUGAUUUAAAACGAGAGCCAGGAGCGGCAUGGGGCAGAUGACCCCAUCACGCAGUGCGGGACCCAGCGUGAAAAGAGGGCCUCGUGGGAAGCUGCAAAGUAGAAUAAACUAUAACUGCAUAAAGAGAAGAAAAUAAUAUGACAUUUAACCUGUGUCAUCACUAAUAUGGAAACGAAGGUGCAAUCGUCACCCGCACGGACUCUUUCCAGGUAGAUGUUCUGAAGAUCCCAGAGCAAGGUGACACGUGGGAGCACACAGGAUUUUCUGUUUCCCUGUUCAUAUGUCCAGUCUCGCUAUCAACCUGUGUCUGUGUCAAUAUGGUUUGUGUCAGGAAGCAUGAACUAGGUCACACCUGGAUAUUGAUGUUGAGCCUUUAUCCUUUUCAGUGCUAUUGGCAUUUCUAAGUACACCGCAGCUCACCAGAGGCAUUUUAAUUCUAGUCAUAAGGAAGACAUUUUUGUUCUCUCCAGGGAAGAUUUCCGGUCCAUUAAAUUGGUCCUCUUUAUUGUUUGCGUCUCAUCUUCAGUCACCUGUUUCCACGUCUCAUCUUGUUCCUGAAGUGCUGACCCUGUAAUAUCGCCCCCCUCAGCAUCCUCUUCUAAUCCCACGAAUAGCUUCUGAGACUCGAUCCUGAAUAGAAAUGGCAAGUGUGCCUGCAAUUCUCACCUAGAACUCCUACAACUCUUCAAUUAC
rnacentral:lncRNA from 1 species